GAAAUACCAAGAAAUAAGCUUCUAACUUAAUUAUAAAGCAUUUACGUGUUUGUAUUUCU
rnacentral:tRNA from 1 species